GCUGAUACUCCUGUAGUGCAGUAGGUCAAGGUUCUGAGGCCUGAGUCUGGCCUAAACCGUCUUGCUCAGUAUUGAUGAUCAUCUUCUGGACCUCCUCUUGUGAGCUAGCUUGUCAUCUGCUACAAUAUCUGAAAAGUGAAAGAAAACCUGGGUAACAGAUCUGGCAAGACAGCCAGGAGUGGUGGAGAGGAAGGAGAAGAUCGGUACAAGGACAGGGAAUCAGAAGAACAUGAAGCUUUGGAGGGCGCUAAGGAAGAAAAAGAGUCAGGUGCUCUAGGCUCAAGAUCUAACUGCUCAAGACAACAUCCUCAAGCAGAUGUCACAAUUAGCAACACAAUAAUCUUAAGUGCAGGGCCUAGAGCUUGCAUACAGCUCAUCACUGACAUCUUCCAUUACUGAAGCAGCUGGACCACUUCACACUAAUAUUCAAUGCAAAAAUAAAUGCACACUCAC